AGAGUUUGAUCAUGGCUCAGAUUGAACGCUGGCGGCAUGCCUUACACAUGCAAGUCGAACGGCAGCACGGGAGCUUGCUCCUGGUGGCAAGUGGCGAACGGGUGAGUAAUACAUCGGAACGUACCCUGAAAUGGGGGAUAACGUAGCGAAAGUUACGCUAAUACCGCAUAUUCUGUGAGCAGGAAAGAGGGGGAUCGCAAGACCUCUUGCUUUAGGAGCGGCCGAUGUCGGAUUAGCUAGUUGGUGAGGUAAAGGCUCACCAAGGCGACGACCCGUAGCGGGUCUGAGAGGAUGAUCCGCCACACUGGGACUGAGACACGGCCCAGACUCCUACGGGAGGCAGCAGUGGGAAUUUUGGACAAUGGGCGCAAGCCUGAUCCAGCCAUGCCGCGUGAGUGAAGAAGGCCUUCGGGUUGUAAAGCUCUUUCGGUGGGGAAGAAAUUGCUUCGGUUAAUACCUGGAGUAGAUGACGGUACCCGCAUAAGAAGCACCGGCUAACUACGUG
rnacentral:rRNA from 1 species